GCCUUCGUGGUGUAAUUGUUAGCACACUCGACUCAUAUUCGAGAGGUCUGUGGUUCGAAUCCCGGAGAGGGCA
rnacentral:tRNA from 1 species